rnacentral:hammerhead_ribozyme from 1 species
AUCCAGCUGAAGGGUCCCAGAUGGGACAAAACGCGCGUCAUGUAU